UACAGAGGUCCCGAGCGUUGUUCGGAUUCACUGGGCGUAAAGGGUGCGUAGGUGGUCGGGUAAGUCUGAGGUGAAAUCUCCGAGCCCAACUCGGAAACUGCCUUGGAUACUAUUCGGCUAGAGGGUUGGAGGGGGGACUGGAAUUCUCGGUGUAGCAGUGAAAUGCGUAGAUAUCGAGAGGAACACCAGUGGCGAAGGCGAGUCCCUGGGCAGUAACUGACGCUGAGGAGCGAAAGCGUGGGGAGCGAACAGG
rnacentral:rRNA from 1 species